AACGAACGCUGGCGGUAUGCCUAACACAUGCAAGUCGAACGAGACCUCAGGGACUAGUUGCGCACGGGUGCGUAACGCGUGGGAAGCUGCCCGUAGGCUCGGAAUAACACUCCGAAAGGGGUGCUAAUAUCGGAAAACGUCCUCUGAUAAAAGAUUUAUCGUCCUGGGAUGGGCCCGGGAUGGUUGAGCUUGUCGGGAGGGAAAAAGCCUAUGACGGCGACGAUAGUUAGCGGGUCUCAGAGGAUGAACAGCCACACUGGGAGUGAGACAUGGCACAGACACCUGCGGGAGGCAGCAGCGGGGACUCUUAGAGAAUGGGGGCAAGGCUGAUACAGGAAUAUCGCGUGAGUGAAGAACCCGCUCGGGCUGUAAAGUGCUGUUGUUGUGAAAGAUAAACAGCAGUUUAACCCCCCGUUGUACUGACGGUACCCAAAGAAUAAGCACCGGCUAACUCCGUG
rnacentral:rRNA from 1 species